CCUACGGGGUGCAGCAGUAGGGAAUUUUCGUCAAUGGGCGCAAGCCUGAACGAGCAAUGCCGCGUGAACGAGGAAGGUCUUCGGAUCGUAAAGUUCUGUUGAAGGGGAAAAAGAGCGGAGAGAGGAAAUGGUCUCCGAUUGAUAUUACCCUUCGAGGAAGUCACGGCUAACUACGUGCCAGCAGCCGCGGUAAUACGUAGGUGGCGAGCGUUAUCCGGAAUGAUUGGGCGUAAAGGGUGCGUAGGCGGCCUGCUAAGUCUGGAGUGAAAGGUACCGGCUCAACCGGUACAGGCUCUGGAAACUGGCGGGCUAGAGAGCAGGAGAGGGCGGUGGAACUCCAUGUGUAGCGGUAAAAUGCGUAGAUAUAUGGAAGAACAUCAGUGGCGAAGGCGGCCGCCUGGCCUGUUACUGACGCUGAGGCACGAAAGCGUGGGGAGCAAAUAGGAUUAGAGACCCCUGUAGUC
rnacentral:rRNA from 1 species